rnacentral:rRNA from 1 species
GAUGAACCGAGCGAACGUUAUUCGGAAUCACUGGGCUUAAAGGGUGCGUAGGCGGGCCCGUCAGUCAGGGGUGAAAUCCCACGGCCCAACCGUGGAAGUGCCUCUGAUACUGCGGGCCUGGAGGGGGAUAGGGGCGUGCGGAACUUCCGGUGGAGCGGUGAAAUGCGUAGAUAUCGGAAGGAACACCGGUGGCGAAAGCGGCGCGCUGGAUCCCUACUGACGCUGAGGCACGAAAGCCAGGGGAGCAAACAGG